GACGAACGCUGGCGGCGUGCUUAACACAUGCAAGUCGAACGGGUCUGCCUUGUUUUUUGCGGGGUGGGUCAGUGGCGAACGGGUGAGUAACACGUGAGUAACCUGCCCCUCACUUCUGGAUAACCGCUUGAAAGGGUGGCUAAUACGGGGUGUUCUGGCUGUGCCGCAUGGUGUGGCUGGGAAAGAUUCACUUUUGUGGUGUUUUGGUGGGGGAUGGGCUCGCGGCCUAUCAGCUUGUUGGUGGGGUGAUGGCCUGCCAAGGCUUUGACGGGUAGCCGGCCUGAGAGGGUGGGCGGUCACACUGGGACUGAGAUACGGCCCAGACUCCUGCGGGAGGCAGCAGUGGGGAGUAUUGCACAAUGGGCGGAAGCCUGAUGCAGCGACGUCGCGUGAGGGAUGGAGGCCUUCGGGUUGUGAACCUCUUUCGCCGGUGAAGAAGGUCCUGUUCUUUUGUGGUGGGGCUGACGUAGCCGGU
rnacentral:rRNA from 1 species